rnacentral:rRNA from 1 species
AUUGAACGCUGGCGGCAGGCCUAACACAUGCAAGUCGAACGAGUGGCGGACGGGUGAGUAAUGUCUGGGAAACUGCCCGAUGGAGGGGGAUAACUACUGGAAACGGUAGCUAAUACCGCAUACCAUCGGAUGUGCCCAGAUGGGAUUAGCUAGUAGGUGGGGUAACGGCUCACCUAGGCGACGAUCCCUAGCUGGUCUGAGAGGAUGACCAGCCACACGGGAACUGAGGCACGGUCCAUACGCCGACGGGAGGCAGAAGUGGGGAAGAUGGCACAAGGGGCGCAAGCCUGAUGCAGCCAUGCGGCGUGUAUGAAGAAGGCCUUCGGGUUUUAAAGUACUUUCAGCGAGGAGGCGUUACUCGCAGAAGAAGCACCGGCUAACUCCGUGCCAGCAGCCGCGGUAAUUC